GGGUCAGUAGGUUGGUCGUGUCUCCGGUACGUACUGGUCUCACUGAUUCCUCCUUCCUGAAGAACCGUAAUGCCAUUAAUUUGGUGUUGCGGGGAAACAGGACUGUUACUUUGAAAAAAUUAGAGUGUUUAAAGCAAGCUAACGCUUGAAUACAUUAGCAUGGAAUAAUGAAAUAGGACGAUCGAUCCUAUUUUGUUGGUUUCUAGGAUUGACGUA
rnacentral:rRNA from 1 species